GUCCGCUGUUCUUCAGGGAUAACACUUUCAUUGAAAGCCAGGUUCAGGGAGCUAAUAUUUGCGAGUUCAUCCAUAAAAAGAAGAGCUCAGACGGUUGAAUAUCGACCAUCAACAAAGAAUGCCUAAUAAACCACUUUCAGCAUUGACUCUACAAGAUCGAGACAUAGAAAUUCAAAUAGAGGUCCACAGGAAAUGGGAAUUUCGAGGUGCUAUUGACAAUGGACCCAUAUUACACAUAGACAUGAUCCUGACGGAUUGCAUAGGCAAUGCUAUCCAUUGUCAAAUACCAUCAUUCCCAGCAGCUAAAAGAGGUGAUGAAUUUCAAGUGGGAAAAAUAUACAAGAUGUCCCGCUUUCCAGUAGCUCGUGCAAAAUCUUCCUACAAACCUGUUGAUGGUGAUCUCAUGUUUCUAACAAGUUACGACAAGAUUGAUCCAAAUGAACCAAAUGCAAGGAACUUCCAUGAUGUCAUUAGCAUUAUUACAGAAAUCUCUGCGAUUAAACCUGUGGGAAAUGCACGCAUACCCUCAUCUUACAAUCGACAUGUUCUAAUAAAAAACCUCAGUGAUAGCAUUCUGAAAAUUACUCUAUGGGGGAAACGUGCACAAGAAUUUUAUUUGACCAACACUUAUGACCCACAGAAACAAACUCUUGUCAUUGUCUUAUUUGUUGGUUGUUUACCAAAAGAAUUCCAAGGGGAAGUACUUUUAAGUGGUGGUGCAGCCUACCAUUGGUACUUCAACCCAUCAAUUGAAGAAGCUACUGCUUUUUACAACAAGAUUGAAUCUGAGAAGAUAAACAUAGAAUUACCCAGCCUUGACGGACAAGAAAUUACACCUCCACAACUUCCACAACGAGAACAUCAUGACCUUAAAUACAUAUUACCUCUAAACCCACAUGAUGUACCGGAUGAAGGAUAUGAAUGCACAGUAACCAUUACAAGUAUUCCUGAAGGCAAGACUUGGUAUUAUAUUGCUUGCAAUACUUGCCCAAACAAACCAAGCAUUGAUCCUAUCAUCCGUCAAUGCUCCACAUGUGGAUCAACAAAAUACUGCUUCAGGUACAAGCUCACUUUCAAGGCAUCAGAUGGAACUGCAGAAGCUGAAAUGUUUGCUUUCGACACUGUUGCAAGGACAAUUAUUGGGAAACCAUGUCCAAUGGUUGUUGCAUCAUUUUCCAGAUGCAUCAGCUAUCCCACCUGAAAUUACAGCAAUCGUUUCACGGAAAUACACAUUCAUUGUAGUGUUCAACAACCAAUCAUACAGAUUUCUAGAAAAAGCAUUGCUCAUAAAAGGAAUUGUAGCAUCAUAUGGAAGAAUGACAUCACUACCAAGAGUUCAAGAAAAACUUGAUGUGCACCUUCCUCCCAAUCCAGCCAAAAACAAACUGAUAACAACAGCUGCUCAAUCUCCCUCUACAGUCAUGUCUAGACUUUCCACGGCGGACUCACCAAGUGUGAGUCGAAAGCUAACCUAUUCUCCAGCAAAGGAUAAACCUGAGACAAACCCUCUUGAUGCUGAUAAAAAUAGAGCUCCUGCAACAACACUUGAAUCACCUACAAAAAGGAUCAAACAAGACCCUAAGAAUCAACAAGAGUAGACGUUGUGUGCAACACAGUAAGGAAUACUUCUGAACAUCACGCCCAAACUUCAACAAACGAAGCAUAUUCCUCACUAUUUUGUCUAUAAAUAUUAUGUGUGCCUUCUUCUAUGAAGCAAACCUUACCCUCGAUAUGCUAUAUAUAAUAUCUAUGUAUUGUCAUGUAAUAUAACCAUCUAUAAACUCAUCAGUUGCUACAAUAUAUUCUAAGCAAACCUUACCCUCG